rnacentral:lncRNA from 1 species
AGCGAAGCCUUGUCCUCUACUUCCGCGGGGUCCUGGCAGGUGGCGGUGACAGAGUGGGUACCAGGACUAGUGGCGAGGUGAGCUUCGGCACGGUGUGGGGUGGUAAUGGUCCGGCAGGGCGCUUGGCUUGAGAGUGCGGCGCGGGAGACGGAACUGAACCCGCUCCCGGAGCUGCGCUGGCGGGGACUGAACCCGCUCCCGGAGCUGCGCUGGCGGGGUGGGUCCAGGCUCUGGGGCCUCCUCACCCCGGCCUGGACGCGUCCCAGCAGGGCUGCGGACCGUAGCCCCUUCCCUUACGAGGCGAAGACCCACGCCACUGCAGGUCUCUAGUCCUCCCCCGCGUCGGGGUCUGGGUCAGAGCCACUCGACCCUGGGGUGGUGACAGAGAUGGGUCUUGUUUCCACUUACUUGCGGGCUAUGGGCGCCCGCCACGUCGGCUAAAUCCGAGGCACCUUCCUGUCCCAAGGCAGAGGGUUUCAUAAUGGGAAGUGAGGAUAACGGAACAUCAGACUCCAAAGUGACACCGAGGCUGACCUAGAACUUAGCUCUUCUCAUUCCCAUACACACGACUCAAAAAUCGUGUGCUGAUGAGAGCGUGUGUGUGUGUGUGUGUUUUAGAAGAGAGACGCUGUGUCUAACUGGGGACCUUUAACUGGGCAAGGGGCAAACCCCUAACUUUGGUUGAGAAGAGAAAGUGGGAGCCAUUGGGUCCUCCCCACGGAAGCCCAUUGGCCCGCCCUUGGAGUGGCCCCAACGUCACACCAGGAGAGGCCAAUGCGAAGGAGUUUUCCUUUCACCUUUAGGUACGGACUGCACGUGCUGAUGAAGUUUUAUUUACUUUUGUCAGUGCUCUUUUAUAAACAGCCUGGAUGUGUCCCGACCAAAGUGCACGGUAUAUGCCAGGGAAUAUCGUCCAUAAACCUGAUGGGAAAGCUGUACUCUGUCCAGGCUGUUCACACACACACACACACACACACACCCUUUUCCCCCUUUCUCUCUGGCAGUAUAAAUGCUAACCACACUGUUAACAGCAUUCAGUAAAAUGUGACAGUUAGUAAUGCUAUUAUUAUCAGUCAGCAAACUUUUUACCUGGUCGAAGUUUGACAUCUAAUCCCACAAUCCUUUAGCGAUAAUAUUAGUAUGGCUUGAUAAAUGGAAAGUAAUGAAGCUCGAGGAGAACAAAGGGUGACCAGAUUGGGAGCCCAGGUUGGCCUCGCUCUGAAGACUUAACUUUGGUUUUGGUUCUUUGUUUGUUUAUUGGGGGGGGUGCAUUUUGAGACAGGGUUUCUCUAUGGAGUCCUGACUGUCCAAUAAUUCACACUAGGCUGGCCGAGAAUACACAGAAAUCCACCUGCCCGUGGGGAUUAAAUGCCACCAUGCCUGGCUUGUUUUAUUUGUUGAGAAAGGCUUUAUGUAAUCCAGGCUGGCCAAGAAUAAUUCUUGGACUUCUGAUUUCUCUGGCUUUCUGAAUUGAGUAGCAGGAAAUGGAGAAGGGAGAAAAUGAAACUCUUGAACUGAGUCUAGAAAUCUGGACUUAUGCAAAAGAGAGAUUUCCCUGAGUGGUGUGUGCCACCAUGCCCGGUUUAUACACUGCUGAUGAUAGAACCAGUCAGCAAACACUCUACCAAAUAGUCCAGAUUAGGUAACACACAGAUAAACCUUACACAGUUAACUUGGGUUUGGAGUGGAUUAAUCAUCAAAGACGGUUUGGAUCUUGUGAGUGGAUACUUUUGACUCAGAAAUCUUAACAGAUGGGAGUGUAAUGAUCCAUUUAAGAUAGUUAUUGACAACCAUGCUGAUUAUGCCAGUUAAAAAAUUUUAAGUCCUUUUAAUUGAUGACAAGACCAUAAGUGGCCUUAUGCCUCUGAAAAUAUCCCUUGCUGCCUCUGCCCAGGGAUAGAGUUUUUAAAGACAAAAACCUCAAAGACCUUAAUUUACCUCAAAGUUAGAUGAGGAUCAGAGUAAACUUUCAUUCCUGGCAGGGCAUAAUUUUAGAUGUAACCUCAAAUGGGUAUCCAAAGCAGACAUUGGGUUGCGGAAAAGGGAAAGACAAAAUACAUUCAAAACAGGAUGGCAUUACCUUAGUCAUUUCAGGAGGAACAUUUG